rnacentral:rRNA from 1 species
CCUACGGGAGGCAGCAGUGGGGAAUAUUGGACAAUGGGCGCAAGCCUGAUCCAGCCAUACCGCGUGGGUGAAGAAGGCCUUCGGGUUGUAAAGCCCUUUUGUUGGGAAAGAAAUCCAGCCGGUUAAUACCUGGUUGGGAUGACGGUACCCAAAGAAUAAGCACCGGCUAACUUCGUGCCAGCAGCCGCGGUAAU